rnacentral:tRNA from 1 species
AAUAAAGUGCCUGAAAAAGGAUUAUUUUGAUAGAAUAAAUUAUAUGUUUAUACAUCUUUAUUA